CCUACGGGAGGCAGCAGUGGGGAAUAUUGGACAAUGGGGGGAACCCUGAUCCAGCCAUGCCGCGUGUGUGAAGAAGGCCCUCGGGUUGUAAAGCACUUUCAGUGAGGAAGAACGCCUGGUGGUUAAUACCCAUCAGGAAAGACAUCACUCACAGAAGAAGCACCGGCUAACUCCGUGCCAGCAGCCGCGGUAAUACGGAGGGUGCGAGCGUUAAUCGGAAUUACUGGGCGUAAAGCGCGCGUAGGUGGCUUGAUAAGCCGGUUGUGAAAGCCCCGGGCUCAACCUGGGAACGGCAUCCGGAACUGUCAAGCUAGAGUGCAGGAGAGGAAGGUAGAAUUCCCGGUGUAGCGGUGAAAUGCGUAGAGAUUGGGAGGAAUACCAGUGGCGAAGGCGGCCUUCUGGACUGACACUGACACUGAGGUGCGAAAGCGUGGGUAGCAAACAGGAUUAGAUACCCUUGUAGUC
rnacentral:rRNA from 1 species